GCUUUAGACCUCAAAUCAGGCAGGACUACCCGCUGAACUUAAGCAU
rnacentral:rRNA from 1 species